rnacentral:lncRNA from 13 species
GUGGUACGUGCCUAUAAUCCCAGCUACUCAGGAGGCUGAGGCAGAAUUGCUUGAAACCAGGACAGGGAGGCUUCAGAAAUUGUGCCACUGUAUUCCAGCCUGGGUGACAGAGCAAGACUGUCUCAAAAAAAAAAAAAAAAAAAAAAAAAUCCACAAAGAUUUGCAUUUAGUGUUGGGAAGUGGGAAGUCAACAGUGCUUGGCCUAUCCUCAGACCCAGUCCUAGCCCAGGCAAGGAGGGCUGGCUGAGUCUUGGAAGGCCACCAGGCUGAGGGAAGAGGAUGAGCAGCCAGUUGCCCUGAGGGGUUGGAGAAGGUUGUGGCGGGGAGGAACAGAGAUUCUCCCUUUGGGGAUGGGGAGUCCCAAAGCGAGAAAAUGAAGAGGCCAAGGGGUGAGGGUGAGGGGCCCCCAAGGGUGGGGAGAGAUGCUUGGGAUAAAUGUAGGCUUAGUGUCAAGGGGAACAGAGGCCAGAGACUUGCUAGCUGGUGGGAAGGGUGGGUGUUCCAAGACUUACCAGGAUGCUGGGCUUUUCACCUGUAGAACACCUCCAGGACAGCAGCUACAGCCUAUGAAAGGGAGGUGGUGGUGAGAACACAGUGGAGGAAGUGAGUGGUGGAUUAGAUUGCUCAAUGCAAUGCAGGGGUGGAGCUGCUGAGGGUGCGGGAUGAUUCUGAUAAAUUUGAAUAAUUAGUCCCCAGGUCAGCCCUCAGAUGCACAGUCAUUUCAUGGACUCAUAGAGUUUAUAUUGGAAAGGGACCUGAUGGGUUUUCUAGCUAGUCUUUCCAUUUUACAGAUGGGAAAACUGAAGCCCAGAGAAAGGAAAUGGCUUGCCCAGGAUUGCAUGGAUUUCUCUCAUCUUUGCUGUAUCUCAGAGCCCCCGGCUCCUUCAGCUGCGCUGUUUGAGUCUCCUGGCACUCCAGCUGCCUCAGGUUCCCCUGUCGUACCCUUGGCCGUAGUACUAAGGCUCUUGAAUGUCUUUCACAUGUCAAGGGGAAGCAGCACACUAAGACGACAGAGAGGGACUGAAGCUUCUGGAACAAAUGCAGGAAGUGAACAGGAAAACUGGAAGAAUCCACAGAACUUCUGA